rnacentral:rRNA from 1 species
CCUACGGGAGGCAGCAGUGGGGGAUAUUGCACAAUGGGGGGAACCCUGAUGCAGCGACGCCGCGUGGGUGAAGGAGUGCUUCGGCAUGUAAAGCCCUAUCGGCAGGGAAGAAGCAAGACGGUACCUGACUAAGAAGCCCCGGCUAACUACGUGCCAGCAGCCGCGGUAAUACGUAGGUGGCAAGCGUUGUCCGGAUUUACUGGGUGUAAAGGGCGUGUAGCCGGGUUGACAAGUCAGAUGUGAAAUCCUGCGGCUUAACCGCAGAACUGCAUUUGAAACUGUUGAUCUUGAGUACUGGAGAGGCAGAUGGAAUUCCUAGUGUAGCGGUGAAAUGCGUAGAUAUCACGAAGAACUCCGAUUGCGAAGGCAGCUCACUGGACUGCAACUGACACUGAGGCUCGAAAGUGUGGGUAUCAAACAGGAUUAGAUACCCCUGUAGUC